GCCCAUCCCACCCCUAAAAAAAAAAAAAAAGAAAAGAUAAGGAACAAUUGAUAGAGAAAAGAGAAAAGAAUUUAAGAAAAAGAAACAUAAUAGAAGUAAAUGGAAGGACAUAUUAGAAACAAAUUGGAAAGAAAAAUAAAAUAGAUAAGAAUGGAUAGGGAAGAGAAAUGAAGGGAUAAAUCGAGGGAGGAAGGGGAUGGAUUUUAAAAAAAGAAAAGAAAGGGACAAAAAAAAGGUAUGAAGAAAGAAAGAAAGUAGAGAGAGAGAGAGAGAGAGGAAAAAAAAAGAAAAGGGAAUAAAGAAUAAAGUAAGGAUAGUGACGUAAACUGGAAGAUAUCCAGGAGCGUAUCAAAAGGGUGAAAGAGUAACCUGUUGCGGCGCACGCAUACUAUAUCUCUCUUUCUCACUUUCUCUCUUGUCACUCUUUCCAAUAUAGUCCAGGGAAAAGUCUCUUCUUCUUCUUCUUCUUUCUCACUCUUUGAACUGAACCUCCCACCACCACCACCAGCACCACCACCACCACCACUACUACCACCACCAUCACCAUCACCAACAGCAUCGAUACUACCACCAGCAACAGACCAGUAGCAGUACCAAUACCAGCACUAUCAGGAUUGCCACCACCUCCAACCAUGUUCGCCGUUUCUGAUUGCACACGAGCCCAGGCUUAGAUAGAAGCAGAACGUUAGUCUGCUCUCACCAGCUCGUGGUGAUACAUUCGCUGCGUUCCAACUCUCCGUUUAUAUUCACGUUCUACUAGUAUCUUUGAAGAAAUUCAUGCGUUAAUCGAAAAGAGAGUAUAGUAAUUAAGAAACUUGGGGGCUGAAGUUUUCGCAAGCUUCGGAAAGCGUUUUACAACUUUAAAAGAAAAAUAAAACGGGCAAAGGGAUAGCGGGGGUUGAGGAGAAGAGAAGACUAGGAAGGUAAAGGGAGGGAAAGGGAAAAAGAAAGGAAAGAAAAAGGAGAGGGUAAAAAACGAGGAUAAAGAAAGAUUUGAAUAAAGAAAUUUUUCGGUGGUACUUUAUUUUAUAAUUGUGAUCUUGGACGCGUUCGUCAAAGUGCCGGAUAAAUUGUCAGAAGUCCUGGGGGAUGUUCUGGAGUUAGCAU